GCAUAUUUAUUUUCAGGUACAUUUGUUGUUGUUUUUUUACUUUCAAUUUGGAGCAUUUUUUUCAACAGAAGGGAUAUGAGACAAUACACUGGGGAUAAAAUAUGCCAUGAAUAAGGUCCAGAAUGGGUCAAUGCAAAACAAAAGACCAUGACAGCCAGGUCGCACUGCACUAAAUCACAGUCGUAUGGGAUACAGCCAUAUAAGUACUGUAUAAGUACAGAUGGAUCGGUGUCACUUCGUCGUAUCUACCCUUCGUGAGAGGCAGACUACUUGGUAAAAUUACAACCUAUAUAAAAAAGAAAACAUGCCUAAGCAUUAUUUACAAUAUAUAUAAACAAACAGCCUUUGCAUAUACCCGUUUAUUUAUCCAUUUAUUUAUUUUUUUUAUUUAUAUUUUUUUUUUUUUUUUUUUUUUUGAAAGUGUUAUUUUCUGAUUCUUGUUACUCUUAACUUUGUUCGAAAAUCAUGCUGUCUUACUGUUUCUUUGUUUAGUUUAAUCAUAUUUUAUUGCUUAAGAAAUACGGUAAUACAAUGCUAUACAAUACAUGCAAAUAAAUCCGCAAACAAACAAAAGGAAGAAUAAACACAAGUAGUAAUAACGUGGAUAUCAAAAGCAAACGGGUUGGGCCACAAGUUAUACCAACAUUAGCGGACGGCCCUUCCCUAUAGUCAGACAUAAAGAACAAGACUUAAAAGAUUUUUGUAUUGUCGUCAGGCUAUUUAUACUUUAUAAUAGCAGCAAAUGUAAAAUAGAAAGUUCUAAAACUAAAAAGACAAAAAUAUUAGAAUGAAUCUAAAAAGUCCCUAUUCUAGGUGUGUUUAGACAGAAAUAUAUCACGUUUAAUACUGAAAAAUAUUUAAUCAUUCAAGAAAAUCUCUUGGUGGCUUUUAUGUAAUUUUGUACCGCCUUAAACAUUAACGCAUUCGCAUUAUAACUUUAGUUUUCUAUUCCAAAAAGUAAUUUAAAAGUACUUAAAGGGUGAUAAGUCCGUGUGUUGUUAAAAAGUUCACGUCUUUGUAAAACAAACUAGGGGCAGCGGAAAAAGAAAUGUUCUGCAUCAUCAGACGUAUUUCCACAGGAGCAACUAAGAUUAUCGCGUAAAUGAUUGCGAAAUAAAUCUGCAUUCAAAUUGCUUCAUCUAUUCCUAAUUCUAGCAUGGUGGACCUGGAAGACACGGUCUCAUAAAAGAUACGAAGGGGUGGUUUAAACUUUAGUUAGUUUUUUUAGUUUACUUUUGAAUGAAGAUAAAGUAUCAGCGGUCCAUAUGUCUACAUUUAUUUCGUUCCACAAUUUGAUAGAUGAUGGUAUGGUUGAUUUAGAUUAUAUUUCGAGCCGACGAGCCACAGUGGCAUAAUCAUCAUUCAUUAUUUCGCAAAUUAUAGGUAAUAUAUUAAAAACAUUUAUUUAAACAUUAACAUAAGCAUAGUUCCUAAAACCUUACUCGCUGAUUUUGCUUUAUCAGAAAUAUGCUUGUGCCAAGUUCCGUCGUCAUUUAGUGAAACUCCUAAGUGUUUAUCCAUCUGAACGCAAGUUAACUGUGUGUUCUGAAAGUAAAGUGAAGGGAGAUUUCUAUUAUUUUUAGCCAAAGAUAAGAACAUAACUUCUGUCAUGGAUGGAUUAAACUGCACAAGCCAUUGUUGUGCCCAAAUUGACAAGAUUUGAAGAUCGUGAUUGAUGGUAGUUUUUAUAUAAUAAGCGUUAUUCGAACUAAAAGCCAGCGAACUAUCAUCUGCAAAUAAUCUGGUAAAAUUAACAAGAGAAUUUACUAUGUCAUUUACGUAUAAUAAGAACAAAAGAGGACCAAGAACCGACCCCUGAGGCACACCGGCGUUGAUAUGUUUUUCACUUGAAAAUGUUGAACUUACAAAUACUUUUUGUCGCCUGUCGCCAGAAAUCCAGUUUAUGAUAUCUCCGCUAAACCCAUACUGUUUUAAUUUGAAAAUAAGACCCCUAUGCCAAACCCUAUCGAAAGCUUUAUUGAUAUCGCAGAAUACUAUACAUAGAGAAUAUUAGGUUACUGUCUUUCUUAACUUUAAGUUUAUCCGGUGAGUCGGAAAAAAGUUAAGAAAGACAGUUACCUAAUAUUCUAUUUAUCCUACCACCUUUUUUAAAUAUUCUACAAAACCUACAACCCCACACGUCAAAUUUCAAAAGAAAAAUGUACAAAAGUUUGCGAACAGACAAUAGUUUGAAGAAAGCGUGUAUGAAUUUGACUGAUAACGCUUGACCUCAGUACAUACGGGGAGACAAAUAAUCACCUAAUAUUUAUCACAAUAACACAGAAAUACGUGGUUUAAAAAUUUAUUUGACGCAUUUUGAAUCGAGAAAUAUAGUAUAAAGUGAAAGAAAAUCGUAUUUUUAAGCAACAAUUAUUGUAUUUAAACAUUAGCCAAUCAAUGUGUAAAGUUAACGAGAACGUGUCAGAAAUUAAUUUCAACAUGGCGAAAUAACAGCAGAAGCAACUAGGGCAUUGUAAAUUUCACGGAUUUACGGACAUUUCAAGCAGUAAGAUGAGAAACUACUUCUCAGUUAUACAUAUAAUACAGCACCAAAGAACUUUGAACUGAUAGAAGUUGCUGAAUUCGAAGCGGACAUUGACAUAAUAUGCUGCGGAUGAGGCUAGGUGGGGUUUGAUUCAGUGAAUAACACAACACUGCCAUUGCCGAUUGAUGUGACAACCUCGUCAAAAGCAUAUGUAUGUGAGGGGAGGGCAGGCAAGCGACAGAUUCAUUUGAACUAGAAGCUGACAGCAGCUAAAAUUGGUGUUGUGCGUGGUGCCAGAUAAGAUGGGUCUUCUUCAUCAGAGUAUCCAGAUGGGCCUUUUGCAGCAUAAAGUUAUUACAUUGCCACCGGAUCCCUGUCUCAGGAACUUGUGAACAUUUUUGGUGCAACUUUGCGGACAUCUGUCAAGUUCUCACCGGUUUAAUGGGGGCAUGUUAGUGACAUAGCAACAGUACCAUUUUGGGCUCUGGACUGUAAAUAGUAUGGAUGAUCUGAGAUCUCGGUAGAGGCAGCAUCGGUAGAACCUUCAACUAGCACUUCAUCCAUACCAAUUGUAUCAUCUGAUUUCUUUCUGGAAUGUCAGGAUCGACUGGAUGGAGUGUGUUGUUUUUCCAGUCAUCGUCAAACAGAGUAGGAUGGAAUCCAAACCAAAAGUUUGGAAGAAAUCUUCCGCAGAGAUUUCUUGAACAGUUCCAGUGUUAUCCACAUUAAUAGUUUCUGAGGAACAAUGCCCUCCCAUAUAACUUCAAAAGUGCCAGUGCUCAUGUUAUCAGACAUUUUGACAGCUGUCAACUCUGACAGUUUAACAGCAGACACCAAAAUAUUCACUGUUGUACAGUAUUUAUUUAAAAAAAUUAAGAAGCACUUUGAAAAUUUUUAUUUGAAUGAAUAAUAAUAUAAGAAACAACGAGUUAUUUUUAAGUGUGUGUGUGUGUGUGUGUGUGUGUGUGUGUGUGUGUGUUUUGAAUAUCUCCCGUUUUUAUCCACUUGUUUACAGUAUCCAUCGGUAACCCGGAAACUAGGUCGAAAGUAGUCCGUCACUUGUGUUGACUGUAUAAAUUUCUAGUGACUGUAUAAAGCUCAGGUUUACACUGCAGGCUGAUAUCGGUCUGAUAAAUGCAUAGUGGUAGGAUAAACGUUGAUUUUUGUCAUCAAAUGCUUUACAUAUUUGAUUAUUGGUACACUAUUGAGUGACCAGGUAAAAAGCCAGCUUGGUGUUU
rnacentral:lncRNA from 1 species